rnacentral:rRNA from 1 species
GAGUUUGAUCGUGGCUCAGGACGAACGCUGGCGGCGUGCUUAACACAUGCAAGUCGAACGAGAAUCUACUGAAAGAGUUUUCGGACAAUGGAAGUAGAGGAAAGUGGCGGACGGGUGAGUAACGCGUGAGGAACCUGCCUUGAAGAGGGGGACAACAGUUGGAAACGACUGCUAAUACCGCAUGAUGCAUAAGGGUCGCAUGAUUCUUAUGCCAAAGAUUUAUCGCUUCAAGAUGGCCUCGCGUCUGAUUAGCUAGUUGGCGGGGUAACGGCCCACCAAGGCGACGAUCAGUAGCCGGACUGAGAGGUUGAACGGCCACAUUGGGACUGAGAUACGGCCCAGACUCCUACGGGAGGCAGCAGUGGGGAAUAUUGGGCAAUGGGCGCAAGCCUGACCCAGCAACGCCGCGUGAAGGAAGAAGGCUUUCGGUAUGUAAACUUCUAUCAGCAGGGAAGAAAAUAGACGGUACCUGACUAAGAAGCCCCGGCUAACUACGUGCCAGCAGCCGCAGUAAG